rnacentral:rRNA from 1 species
UACGUAGGGACCGAGCGUUGUCCGGAAUCAUUGGGCGUAAAGAGCGUGUAGGCGGCUAUUUAAGUCCUGCGUGAAAUCCUGCGGCUCAACCGCAGACGGUCGUGGGAAACUGGAUGGCUAGAGUGCGGGAGAGGAGAGUGGAAUUCCCGGUGUAGCGGUGAAAUGCGCAGAUAUCGGGAAGAACACCCGUGGCGAAAGCGGCUCUCUGGGACGGUACUGACGCUGAGACGCGAAAGCGUGGGGAGCAAACAGG